GAUGAACGCUGACCGAAUGCUUAACACAUGCAAGUCAACUUGAACUUCGGUUUGGGUGGCGGACGGGUGAGUAACGCGUAACGAACUUGCCUCACAGCUAGGGACAACAUUUGGAAACGAAUGCUAAUACCUGAUAUUAUGAUUUUAGGGCAUCCUAGAAUUAUGAAAGCUAUAUGCGCUGUGAGAGAGCUUUGCGUCCCAUUAGCUAGUUGGAGAGGUAACGGCUCACCAAGGCGAUGAUGGGUAGCCGGCCUGAGAGGGUGAACGGCCACAAGGGGACUGAGACACGGCCCUUACUCCUACGGGAGGCAGCAGUGGGGAAUAUUGGACAAUGGACCAAGAGUCUGAUCCGGCAAUUCUGUGUGCACGAUGAAGUUUUUCGGAAUGUAAAGUGCUUUCAGUUGGGAAGAAAAAAAUGACGGUACCAACAGAAGAAGUGACGGCUAAAUACGUG
rnacentral:rRNA from 1 species